rnacentral:rRNA from 1 species
GACGAACGCUGGCGGCGUGCUUAACACAUGCAAGUCGAACGGAAAGGCCCUGCUUUUGUGGGGUGCUCGAGUGGCGAACGGGUGAGUAACACGUGAGUAACCUGCCCUUGACUUUGGGAUAACUUCAGGAAACUGGGGCUAAUACCGGAUAGGAGCUCCUGCUGCAUGGUGGGGGUUGGAAAGUUUCGGCGGUUGGGGAUGGACUCGCGGCUUAUCAGCUUGUUGGUGGGGUAGUGGCUUACCAAGGCUUUGACGGGUAGCCGGCCUGAGAGGGUGACCGGCCACAAUGGGACUGAGAUACGGCCCAGACUCCUACGGGGGGCAGCAGGGGGGAAUAUUGCACAAUGGGCGGAAGCCUGAUGCAGCAACGCCGCGUGCGGGAUGACGGCCUUCGGGUUGUAAACCGCUUUCGCCUGUGACGAAGCGUGAGUGACGGUAAUGGGUAAAGAAGCACCGGCUAAAUACGUG